rnacentral:misc_RNA from 1 species
AGGUUCCUGUUUUUUAGAGGACAAGUACAAAUAGUGACAGAUAUUAGAGCCUUUAAUGGGGCUUAUUGAACAGUAUUCUGUCAGCUUGUGAAGGUAAAGAACUUGACGUGUGCCCAAGGAUCCUCUGGAUAUGCCUGAGCCUGGAUGGAUCAGUGCAAGCAGAAUGGAAUAUAUAUACAAGAGGUUGACUAGAAUGUCGUAGUUAGUAGAGUACUUGUCAAAGGCGAUAAUAGAAUUGAAAAUCUUUAUCCCUGUGGGUAAGAGACCAGAAAAUUCAUGCUUGGUCUAUGUAAUCUCAUUUUCAAUUUGUGCAUUCAAAAAUUACGUUCUUAGGUGUUGCUUAUGAGAAUUGAAUUUGAUUUUAAUAAAUAAAAAUAGAAAGCAAAUUCAUUCGUCAACUUGAUUGCUUAUCAAACAUGAAUUAUGGAAAUCAAUAGUAUAUAUGGAAUUAAUUUUUUUUUUCUUUUGUAGGGAUUGAAAAGUAGUAUACGAAUCAAACCUAAAUUUAUUCAAUAAAUGAUAUGUUUUCGGCCAUCGAAUUAAAGACUAAAUCAAACUAAAGUAGUAGGCCUUUGUCUCACGAACACGAAAAACUGACGCUGGGAGAGUUGACAGGGAGCAAACUCGAAUAGAGAAGAGAGAAAAGCAGCGCGUCGUCGAAGAAGAGACGAAGAAGAAGACUAGGAUCUCGACUUGGAAGGAGGAAUGCUGGACGACGACGACGAAGAAGAAGGAGGAGGGUCGAGCAGGAAGAGAGUGAGAUCAAGUUUUAUCGACGAUGAGGCGGUGGUUGACUCCGAUGACGAAGAGGAGGAAGAAGAUGAUGCUGAGGACGGCUUGCAAAGGUUUGCACAAUGUAUAUUCCCAGCAAAUAAUGCUUGUCCUAAUCAAGGAAAUGACCAAUGUUCUUUUGGUUGAAAGCAAAAUAGUUGAUCUUACAAGGCGAACCUAGGUCAGAAUUCAGGUGGCAGAUGUAGAUAAUGUGCAGCGGGGAGUUAGAGUGACGUUAAUUCCACAGAUUGACUCGCAGGCUAUUGCAAAUAAACUGGACGGUGGAGAGGAAGUAAAGAAGGUGGCUUUUGUCCCUCCAUGUUUUGUGAAUGGUGAUGAAGCAAGGAAACUAUUGCAGUGAAUGAAAGGAGAUAUGCAAGUUUUUUGAGCCUGGUAAUCAUGAGAAGGCUGUCUCCGGUGCACACGAAGAUGCAAACGGCAUGGUCAUUAAGGUUGAGGAGCAUUACUCAUCAUUCUAUCUGACACUAUCAAGGAACAUAUUCGUGUAUUUGCUGAUAGUGUUGUAGAAAGCUCUAAGGUAAUUACUAGCGUUACCAGAUUGGAGACUACAAGCUUCAUCAUGAUCUUGUGCUGCUGGGGUACAUUGUUUAUUCUGGAAUAAGGCAUUGUUUUUCUCUUUAUUAUUUGAGGUCUUAUAUGUAUAUUCUUUAUGCUUCGGUAGUACGAGCUUUGGUGUAAUUAUACGUGUUGAAAGUGAAGCCUUUAAGGUGAGCAAUCACUUUAAUGCACAAGAGUCCAAAUGUUAAAGUGAACUUUAUUAAAUGGUAUUCUUUUUUUAUCCAGAUUCUUAGCGGAGUUCCCAAGAGACCUGAGGUUUCUCUUGUUAGAUUGAGAGAGAUCA